UUCCGUUCAUGGUUAGGAGGUACUGUUAGAAAUUGUACAGCUUUCCUCCCAUCUUCGCUACGUAACAUUGCAUAAGCAGAACCAUCGUCAAGUACUUUUGUUUCCAUCCGUGUUGCCGUAAUAUAAGAUUGUCCUAAAAUCAAUGGAUAAGACGUUGUAUCUUGAACAAAGAAAUGUUGCUCCAUCGCAACAUCUUCAAUCCAAAUUUUGACAUCUCGACAAGCUCCAUAUAAUUCGCCCCGUGUGUUAUUGGCUGCUCGUAUUGUCCAUCCAUGUUCCAUAUCAAUUGGCCAUUUUUUCUUCUUAUAAAGAUCUUUAGACAUAAGAUUUAUUUCAGAACCAUGGUCGACUAAAACAACAAUUGGUUCUUCU
rnacentral:lncRNA from 1 species